CCCUUAGAUGUUCUGGGCCGCACGCGCGCUACAAUGGUCUUCGCAAACGGAUGCAUUCUCGAAGGAGAAUGCCAAUCUUGGAAUCUAUGCCUUGGUCGGGAUAGUUGCUUGCAAUUUUUCGACUCGAACCAGGAAUUCCUUGUAAUCGUGAUUCAUCACAUCACGAUGAAUACGUCCCUGCCCUUUGUACACACCGCCCGUCGCUCCUACCGAUCGAAGAGUUAGGUGAAUUGUUUUGAUCGAUAAGAUUUGACUAUGGUCAACUCUCGUUGUGAAAUUCUGUGAAUCUGACUGUUUAGAGGAAGGAAAAGUCGUAACA
rnacentral:rRNA from 1 species